rnacentral:piRNA from 1 species
UCAAGUCUUCUUUAAUUUGCUAGACAUAGA